CCUACGGGGGGCUGCAGUGAGGAAUAUUGGUCAAUGAACGCAAGUUUGAACCAGCCAAGUCGCGUGAAGGAAGACUGUCCUAUGGAUUGUAAACUUCUUUUGUCAGGGAAUAAAGUUAGUUACGUGUAGCUAUUUGCAUGUACCUGACGAAUAAGGAUCGGCUAACUCCGUGCCAGCAGCCGCGGUAAUACGGAGGAUCCGAGCGUUAUCCGGAUUUAUUGGGUUUAAAGGGUGCGUAGGUGGAUUUAUAAGUCGAUGGUGAAAGUUUGCAGCUUAACUGUAACAUUGCCGUUGAAACUGUAGGUCUAGAGUGCAAAUGAGGUAGGCGGAAUGUGUUGUGUAGCGGUGAAAUGCAUAGAUAUGACACAGAACUCCGAUUGCGAAGGCAGCUUACUGGGAUGCAACUGACGCUGAUGCACGAAGGCGUGGGGAUCAAACAGGCUUAGAUACCCCAGUAGUC
rnacentral:rRNA from 1 species